UACAGAGGUGGCAAGCGUUGUUCGGAAUUACUGGGCGUAAAAGGCGCGUAGGCGGCCUGUUAAGUCCCGUGUGAAAUCCCUCGGCUCAACCGAGGAACUGCACGGGAAACUGGCGGGCUUGAGUUCGGGAGAGGGAAGCGGAAUUCCGGGUGUAGCGGUGAAAGGCGUAGAUAUCCGGAGGAAAACCGGUGGCGAAGGCGGCUUCCUGGCCCGACACUGACGCUGAGGCGCGAAAGCUAGGGGAGCAAACGGG
rnacentral:rRNA from 1 species